rnacentral:tRNA from 1 species
GCCGACGUGGCUGGAACUGGCAGACGCGGCGCAUUCAAACUGCGCUCCACGGACGUGGGUGCGGGUUCGACUCCCGCCGUCGGCA